rnacentral:lncRNA from 1 species
CCCCUCAGCCUGUACUCCUCCCCGAGGCGGAGGGCGGGCCUAUCGUGCCCGCGGCAACUCCGCCCUCCGGGCUCUCGGGGGCGUGGCCAGAGGGGAAAUUUUGUGAGCCUGAAGAAGGUGGGGCUAGAGGAGGAGUCUGAGGGCGUGUGAGGGGCGGGGUUUAAGUGGACGCAGCGAGCAGCCGUGCGUCUUGACGUCACGAAGACCUUAUAUACUCGACUCAGCCGCCAUCUCAGCCUUUCGGAGCUGUGCGGCGCGCUGAGCAGGAAUGGCAAUGUGGACCUCUGAUGGAACAUCUGGUGGGAUCUCACAGUCAGUUCUGUGGCAAAGGAGGAUGAAGACUUAAAGAGGACUCAACAGGAAGCUGGAUAACAGAAAGAGAGCAAUGUGCUAGAAUAGAAGACCAGAAAAUGAAAGAUAUGAAAAAAAGGUGGAGUUUAAGGCUGGAUAUACAGCUUGAAAAGUAUGAACGCAUGGGUCACUUCAAGUGAAGGCACUGCAAACACAAUGAUCAGUCAUUCUGGAUUUCUGGUCCUUCUGAAUUUUAAAGGCUGCGGUGACAAGUGGACAUGCAGUGACUACCUUUUGUACCUUCCUGUUUCUGAGGUGCCUGGAUGGAGGUUCAAAUAGAAGAUAGUGUCAGAUAUACAUUGUGUUGUCAAAAUUUUACCAUUAAAGUGCAUUACAACA